UAUUUAGUGUAAGUGCGAUGGUGGGUUGCAGUGUUUUGGGCUGUAAAAGCCGGAGUGAGCGAAAAAUUGAAGGAAUAACAUUUCACACGUUUCCAUCCAAUCUUUAUAAAAAGAAAUGGCUGGAUGCCACUGGACGAGAAAAUUGGCAGCCAACAAAGUAUUCAAAAAUUUGUUCGAUUUAUUGGUACAGAAGUCUUUGCAGAAAUAAAGAAUCAUAUUAAUG